rnacentral:lncRNA from 1 species
GACACUUCAAAAACAAGCAAAACGAAACAAUACAGAUAUUACAUAUACAUUAUAUAGAUAUUAUGUAUCUAGGGAUACAUACUAUGUACUAAACUAGGAAGAAAUGCAAGGCUAGUGGUCAUCUGUGGGAAGAGGUAGGGAUGGCAGUGGGAAGGAGACCAUGGGCUUCCAAGGUGCAAGUUCUGUUCUCCCCAGUCAUGAUCCAGAUGCCCAAAAGCAUACAGAGGGAAACAGUAAAGCUUUAGAUUGAGGUGGAAUAUUGAAUUCUUACAAGCUAGGUGCCUUUCCCAACACUCCUUCCAAAGAAGGAAACAUAGCCAGGAGUUAAGGAUAAUAGCAGAGUUGUGCCCUGGCUCUGGGGAGCUCAACUAGCUGCCUUGGAUAGGGUGUUCAUGGUACACCUGCUGUGUCUAUGUCCCUCCUCUCCCUCCUUCAUCCUUCCGUCCCCCUCUUUCUUUCUCGGGCUAAUUUGCUACACAGCAUUAGAUAACCAGAACACCUAGGUCCUAGCAUAAGCCCCACCUCCUCCAGGAAGCCACCUGACUCCCUCCAGCAACAGCUCUGCACUUUACCUUUGUAUUCUCUCCUUUCUGACUAUGGUCAGCAGACUUCUAAGACGGCCCCCAAAGAUUGCCACCUGGUAUUCAUGUGCUCGUGUUAUCUCCUCCUCUUGAAUAAGCUGGACCUAGUGACUUCUAGUGCACAGAAAUGUGGUGAAAGUGAUGGGAUAACAAUUUCCAGAUUAAGUUAUAAAAGACACUGUGGGCUGGGUGCGGUGGCUCACGCCUGUAAUCCCAGCACUUUGGGAGGCUGAGGCGGGUAGAUCACCUGACGUCAGGAGUUCAAGACCAGCCUGGCCAAGAUGGUGAAACCCCGUCUCUACUAAAAAUAGAAAAAUUAUCUGGGCAUGGUGGCAGGAGCCUGUAAUCCCAGCUACUUGGGAGGCUGAGGCAGGAGAAUCGCUUGAACCUGGGAGGCGGAGGUUGCAGCGAGCAGAGAUCACGCCAUCGCACUCCAGCCUGGGG